rnacentral:rRNA from 1 species
CGGGACGGGGUGAGUAAUGUCUGGGAAACUGCCUGAUGGAGGAGGAUAACUACUGGAAACGGUAGCUAAUACCGCAUAACGUCGCAAGACCAAAGAGGGGGACCUUAGGGCCUCUUGCCAUCGGAUGUGCCCAGAUGGGAUUAGCUUGUUGGUGGGGUAACGGCUCACCAAGGCGACGAUCCCUAGCUGGUCUGAGAGGAUGACCAGCCACACUGGAACUGAGACACGGUCCAG